rnacentral:misc_RNA from 1 species
UUUCCGUAGGUGAACCUGCGGAAGGAUCAUUCAUAAUAAGUGUUUUACUGCACUUUUUAAAAAUAGUACUCACCUUGUGUGCAAUGUAGUGUUUCUUUUCGGAGAAACACCUACACCAACCUAUACCUUGAACCACUUUGUCUAAAAAACUAUUAUGAAUACUUAAUUCAAAAUACAACUUUCAACAACGGAUCUCUUGGCUCUC